rnacentral:tRNA from 3 species
GGGGCCGUAGCUCAGUUGGGAGAGCGCAGCGUUCGCAACGCUGAGGUCAGGGGUUCGACUCCCCUCGGCUCCA